rnacentral:rRNA from 1 species
CCUGGCUCAGAACGAACGCUGGCGGCGCGUCUUAAGCAUGCAAGUCGAACGGCAAGGGCAGCAAUGCCCCUAGAGUGGCGGACUGGUGAGUAACGCGUGGGUGACCUACCCUUGAGAUGGGGAUAGCCAUUAGAAAUAGUGGAUAAUACCGAAUACGCUCUGGAUGCUAUGGCGACCAGAGGAAAUCAGGCUACGGCCUGGCUCGAGGAUGGGCCCGCGUCCCAUUAGCUAGUUGGUGAGGUAACGGCCCACCAAGGCGACGAUGGGUAUCCGGCCUGAGAGGGUGUACGGACACAUUGGGACUGAGAUACGGCCCAAACUCCUACGGGAGGCAGCAGCUAAGAAUAUUCCGCAAUGGACGAAAGUCUGACGGAGCGACGCCGCGUGGAUGAAGAAGGCCGAAAGGUUGUAAAAUCCUUUUGUCGAUGAGGAAUAAGUGUGGGAGGGAAUGCCCGCAUGAUGACUGUAGUCGGUGAAUAAGCCACGGCUAAACUACGUGCC